rnacentral:tRNA from 1 species
GCCCCGGUAGCUCAGCAUGGAUAGAGCACAGGAUUCCGGAUCCUGGGGUCGGAGGUUCGAAUCCUCUCCGGGGUACCA